rnacentral:rRNA from 1 species
AUGGACGUGAAGAGUGCAUUCCCCAAAGGCCCCAUUCAAGAACUUGUCUAUGUUGAGAAACCACCGGGUUUUGAAGAUCCGAAGUUCCCCAACCACGUCUACGAACUCCUAGAGGCACUCUAUGGGCUUAAGCAAGCACCAAGAGCAUGGUAUGAAUUCCUUAAGGAAUUCUUUCUUAAGCAAGGCUUCGAAAUAGGCAAAGCCGACCCUAACCUUUUCACUCACGAAGUUGGUAAAGAUAUAUUUGUGUGCCAAAUAUAUGUCGAUGACAUAAUAUUUGGUAGUACUAAUCAUACUUUUUGUGAGGAAUUUAGUAGGAUCAUGACGAAGAGAUUUGAGAUGUCCAUGAUGGGUGAGUUGAAGUUCUUCCUUAGAUUUCAAAUUAAGCAAGUGAAGGAUGGAACUUUUAUUAGUAAAACGAAGUACACCCAUGAUAUCCUCAAGAAGUUUGACAUGGUGAAUGCCAAGCCUAUCAAAACUCCCAUGCCUACCAAUGGACAUCUUGAUCUCAACAUUGAAGGGAAAGUCGUGUAUAACAAGGUAUAUCGUUCCAUGAUCGGCUCUCUACUUUAUUUGUGCACAUCUAGGCCUGAUAUUAUGCUUAGUGUGUACAUGUGUGCUAGAUUUUAA